UACGGGGGGAGCAAGCGUUGUUCGGAUUUACUGGGCGUAAAGGGCGCGUAGGCGGUCGUGACAAGUCACUUGUGAAAUCUCCGGGCUUAACUCGGAAAGGUCAAGUGAUACUGUCGGACUAGAGUACAGAAGGGGCAACUGGAAUUCUCGGUGUAGCGGUGAAAUGCGUAGAUAUCUGGAGGAACACCGGUGGCGAAGGCGGGUCUCUGGGCCGAUACUGACGCUGAGGAGCGAAAGCGUGGGGAGCGAACAGG
rnacentral:rRNA from 1 species